GACGAACGCUGGCGGCGUGCCUAAUACAUGCAAGUAGAACGCUGAAGAGAGGAGCUUACUCUUCUUGGAUGAGUUGCGAACGGGUGAGUAACGCGUAGGUAACCUGCCUUGUAGCGGGGGAUAACUAUUGGAAACGAUAGCUAAUACCGCAUAACAAUGGAUUACACAUGUCAUUUAUUUGAAAGGGGCAAUUGCUCCACUACAAGAUGGACCUGCGUUGUAUUAGCUAGUAGGUGAGGUAAUGGCUCACCUAGGCGACGAUACAUAGCCGACCUGAGAGGGUGAUCGGCCACACUGGGACUGAGACACGGCCCAGACUCCUACGGGAGGCAGCAGUAGGGAAUCUUCGGCAAUGGGGGCAACCCUGACCGAGCAACGCCGCGUGAGUGAAGAAGGUUUUCGGAUCGUAAAGCUCUGUUGUAAGUCAAGAACGGGUGUGAGAGUGGAAAGUUCACACUGUGACGGUAGCUGACCAGAAAGGGACGGCUAACUACGUG
rnacentral:rRNA from 1 species